rnacentral:sRNA from 1 species
GAUACUUCACACACACCUUUAUUAUUACAGUGCAAUGUCAAGACCCUUCACAGAGCACUGCCAGGGGACCCAGGUGAGGCCCACCUCUCCCCACCAGGUGAGGCGGCUGGCAUGGCUGGGUGGGGAGAGGUGAGAUGAGCAGCCUUGCUGCUCUCAGCCCAGCCUUCCCUUCCCCUCACUGGGAGAUGAGGUGCUGUUUGGUUGAAAAACCAGCUGAAAAAACUCAGUUGGGACCAAUAGAGACUUGCUCUCGACCCGGUCUAGGAAACCACUUAUUUUGACUUCCGAGGCCUGUCAAUCUCAAAUAGAGGAGUCAACUCUCUAGCUGUAGCCUGGCCGGGUGCGGUGGCUCACGCCUGUAAUCCUAGCACUUUGGGAGGCCCAGGCAGGUGGAUCACGAGGUCAGGAGUUUGAGACCAGCCUGGCCAACAUGGUGAAACCCCAUCUCUACUUGGCUCUGGUUGUUGUGUGCCAUGAUGCUCCCCGGGAUGGUGACAAGGUGCUGGGCUCUGGCCUUCAGUCUGAGAACCAGCUUCUCCCAAGCUCUUGGGUCCCUGGCCUGAGCCCAGGAUGCACGGGGCUCUGCCCACCUGCCCUCCUUGCAGCAUCAUAAGAAAGGGUGGUCAUCCAGGUAGCCUGAGACUUCGUAAGGGGCUUGCCCAGGGCUGGGCUGGGAAAGAGUAAUGAAGUCAUAGCACAGAGAGUGGGUUG